UGGGGUAUCGCCAAGUGGUAAGGCAACCGGCUCUGACCCGGUCAUUUCGUAAGUUCGAAUCUUACUACCCCAACCA
rnacentral:tRNA from 1 species